rnacentral:rRNA from 1 species
AUUGAACGCUGGCGGAAUGCUUUACACAUGCAAGUCGGGCGGCAGCGCGGGGGCAACCCUGGCGGCGAGCGGCGAACGGGUGAGUAAUACAUCGGAACGUACCCAGUGGUGGGGGAUAACACAUCGAAAGAUGUGCUAAUACCGCAUACGACCUGAGGGUGAAAGGGGGGGAUCGCAAGACCUCUCGCCGUUGGAGCGGCCGAUGUCGGAUUAGCUAGUUGGUGGGGUAAAGGCUCACCAAGGCGACGAU